UGCACCAAUUUGUAAGUCGCUCUGGAUAAGAGCGUCUGCUAAAUGACUUAAAUGUAAAUGUAAAUGUUAAACCAUUGUCUUGUUGGUUUCUGACCAAUGUGUGUUUUUGUUUGUUUCCUCUAACAGAACGGAAGGUAGCGUUCUCUGUUACUUUGGGAGUUGGGGGUUACUAUGGUGGUUACUAUGGACCCACAUCCACUACCCUGGUCUACAAGGACAUCCUGACAAACAUUGGCAAUCACUACAACCCAACUAAUGGUCACUUCACAGCCCCAGUGAGGGGAGUGUACUACUUCAGAAUCGCCUUGUUCGGAAUCGUAGAAAGGAACAGCGGAAUACACUGCAACCUCCGCACAAACGGCAUCGUAACCCUGAAGGCAGGUCUUUGGGAAUACACUGCAACCUCCGCACAAACGGCAUCGUAACCCUGAAGGCAGGUCUUUGGGAAUACACUGCAACCUCCGCACAAACGGCAUCGUAACCCUGAAGGCAGGUCUUUGGGAAUACACUGCAACCUCCGCACAAACGGCAUCGUAACCCUGAAGGCAGGUCUUUGGGAAUACACUGCAACCUCCGCACAAACGGCAUCGUAACCCUGAAGGCAGGUCUUUGGGAAUACACUGCAACCUCCGCACAAACGGCAUCGUAACCCUGAAGGCAGGUCUUUGGGAAUACACUGCAACCUCCGCACAAACGGCAUCGUAACCCUGAAGGCAGGUCUUUGGGAAUACACUGCAACCUCCGCACAAACGGCAUCGUAACCCUGAAGGCAGGUCUUUGGGAAUACACUGCAACCUCCGCACAAACGGCAUCGUAACCCUGAAGGCAGGUCUUUGGGAAUACACUGCAACCUCCGCACAAACGGCAUCGUAACCCUGAAGGCAGGUCUUUGGGAAUACACUGCAACCUCCGCACAAACGGCAUCGUAACCCUGAAGGCAGGUCUUUGGGAAUACACUGCAACCUCCGCACAAACGGCAUCGUAACCCUGAAGGCAGGUCUUUGGGAAUACAU